CCUACGGGAGGCAGCAGUGGGGAAUAUUUCGCAAUGGGCGAAAGCCUGACGCAGCGACGCCGCGUGAGGGAUGAAGGUCUUCGGAUCGUAAACCUCUGUCAGCAGGGAAGAACGGUCACUGUGCUAAUCAGCAGUGAAUUGACGGUACCUGCAAAGGAAGCACAGGCUAACUCCGUGCCAGCAGCCGCGGGAAUACGGAGGGGGCGAGCGUUAAUCGGAAUUACGGGGCGUAAAGCGCUCGUAGGCGGUAUGUUAAGUCAAGGGUGAAAUCCCCGCGCUCAACGUGGGAACUGCCUUUGAAACUGGCAAACUGGAGUGUGUGAGAGGAUAGUGGAAUUCUAGGUGUAGGAGUGAAAUCCGUAGAUAUCUGGAGGAACAUCAGUGGCGAAGGCGACUAUCUGGCACAUAACUGACGCUGAGGAGCGAAAGCGAGGGUAGCAAACAGGAUUAGAUACCCGGGUAGUC
rnacentral:rRNA from 1 species